CCACUUCAAGAUGAGAUUUCCACGCCACCUUGUGUGGCGAGAGGCCCCCAGCCAGACCACUGGGUUGAUAGGCGGGAUGUGGAAGCGAGGACCAAAGACUCGUGAAGCUGACCCGUACUAAUAGGCCGACAACYUCAACCAC
rnacentral:ncRNA from 1 species